AGAUUUUGAUCCUGGCUCAGAUUGAACGCUGGCGGCAGGCCUAACACAUGCGAGUCGAGCGGAUGAGUGGAGCUUGUUCCGUGAUUCAGCGGCGGACGGGUGAGUAAUGCCUAGGAAUUUGCCUGGUAGUGGGGGACAACGUUUCGAAAGGAACGCUUAAUACCGCAUACGUCCUACGGGAGAAAGCAGGGGACCUUCGGGCCUUGCGCUAUCAGAUGAGCCUAGGUCGGAUUAGCUAGUAGGUGAGGUAAAGGCUCACCUAGGCGACGAUCCGUAACUGGUCUGAGAGGAUGAUCAGUCACACUGGAACUGAGACACGGUCCAGACUCCUACGGGAGGCAGCAGUGGGGAAUAUUGGACAAUGGGCGAAAGCCUGAUCCAGCCAUGCCGCGUGUGUGAAGAAGGUCUUCGGAUUGUAAAGCACUUUAAGUUGGGAGGAAGGGCAGUAAGUUAAUACCUUGCUGUUUUGACGUUACCAACAGAAUAAGCACCGGCUAACUUCGUGCCAGCAGCCGCGGUAAUACGAAGGGUGCAAGCGUUAAUCGGAAUUACUGGGCGUAAAGCGCGCGUAGGUGGUUCAGCAAGUUGGAGGUGAAAUCCCCGGGCUCAACCUGGGAACUGCCUCCAAAACUACUGAGCUAGAGUACGGUAGAGGGUAGUGGAAUUUCCUGUGUAGCGGUGAAAUGCGUAGAUAUAGGAAGGAACACCAGUGGCGAAGGCGACUACCUGGACUGAUACUGACACUGAGGUGCGAAAGCGUGGGGAGCAAACAGGAUAAGAUACCCUGGUAGUCCACGCCGUAAACGAUGUCGA
rnacentral:rRNA from 1 species